CAAAUACUACCUCCGUCCCAUAUUAAUUGACGCUCAAAAGGAUGUAUCUAGACGUAUUUCAGUGCUAGAUACAUCCGUUUGAGCGUCAAUUAGUAUAGGAUGGAGGGAGUAAUAA
rfam:Triticum urartu cultivar G1812 contig414395, whole genome shotgun sequence.